GUGAGGAAUAUUGAGCAAUGGGCGCAAGCCUGACUCAGCAACGCCGCGUGGAUGAUGACGGCCUUCGGGUUGUAAAAUCCUUUUCUGGGGGAAGAUGAUGACGGUACCCCAGGAAUAAGUUCCGGCUAACUACGUGCCAGCAGCCGCGGUAAAACGUAGGGGACAAGCGUUAUCCGGAUUUACUGGGCGUAAAGCGCAUGUAGGUGGCCCGGAAAGUUGGACGUGAAAGCUCCCGGCUUAACUGGGAGAGGUCGUUCAAAACUUCCGGGCUUGAGGUUGAAAUAGGAGAGCAGAAUUCCCGGUGUAGUGGUGGAAUGCGUAGAUAUCGGGAGGAAUACCAGUGGCGAAAGCGGCUCUCUGGUUCAAGUCUGACACUGAGAUGCGAAAGCGUGGGGAGCGAACGGGAUUAGAAACCCGUGUAGUCC
rnacentral:rRNA from 1 species